rnacentral:rRNA from 1 species
UACAGAGGUCCCGAGCGUUGUUCGGAAUUACUGGGCGUAAAGGGCGCGUAGGCGGCGACUCAAGUUAGAUGUGAAAGUCCUGGGCUUAACCUGGGGACUGCAUUUGAUACUGGAUGGCUUGAGUUCGGGAGAGGGAUGCGGAAUUCCAGGUGUAGCGGUGAAAUGCGUAGAUAUCUGGAGGAACACCGGUGGCGAAGGCGGCAUCCUGGACCGACACUGACGCUGAGGAGCGAAAGCCAGGGGAGCAAACGGG